rnacentral:rRNA from 1 species
AACCUCCGCAAUGUGAGAAAUCGCGACGGGGGGAUCCCAAGUGCCAUUCUUAACGGGAUGGCUUUUCAUUAGUGUAAAGAGCUUUUGGAAUAAGAGCUGGGCAAGACCGGUGCCAGCCGCCGCGGUAACACCGGCAGCUCUAGUGGUAACAAUUUUUAUUGGGCCUAAAGCGUCCGUAGCCGGUUUAAUAAGUCUCUGGUGAAAUCCUGUAGCUUAACUGUGGGAAUUGCUGGAGAUACUAUUAGACUUGAGACCGGGAGAGGUUAGAGGUACUCCCAGGGUAGAGGUGAAAUUCUGUAAUCCUGGGAGGACCGCCUGUUGCGAAGGCGUCUAACUGGAACGGUUCUGACGGUGAGGGACGAAAGUUAGGGGCGCGAAACCGGAUUAGAUACCCGGGUAGUCCUAACUGUAAACGAUGCGGACUUGGUGUUGGGGUGGCUUUGAGCUGCUCCAGUGCCGAAGGGAAGCUGUUAAGUCCGCCGCCUGGGAAGUACGGUCGCAAGACUGAAACUUAAAAGAAUU